AACAAGGAUGUCUGGUGAAGAAGGUCCUGUUGUGGCUGCUGAGCCAGCAGCUCCUGCUGAGCAUAAUGUUAGUUUGCUAACAGUUUCAAGUGCAAAGACUCUUGGAGAAUAGGCUGGGGUAAGUCUUUGAAACUUUGUUCUGCCGUGCAAGAUUGAUUCGGAAGGAAAAGCUAGGAAGGUAACUGGUUGCUCCUGCGUAGUUGUGAAGGAUUUUGGAGAAGAACAUGAAGCCUAUAAUGUUGUCCUUCAGCACGUUAAAGCUCAAUGAGUAAGAAGAAUGGGAAGUAAAGAAACUGCAUUGAUAGUCAUGCAUGAAGAAUAUAAAAUCCUCAAGUGCUACAAAAAUGAUAGAAGUUCUUUCAAGAGG